rnacentral:lncRNA from 1 species
GUGUUGAUAGAUAAAGUAACAAAAACGCAGUAAAUGGAGAAUUGCGGACGAGUACGGUAAUAUGAAGAAGGAAAAAAAACGUUUUUAUGACAACAGCUCCAUCUAGCGUUUCGUCUGUGCUGUAACAAUGAUGUAGUGAUUCAGGUCAAUAAAUAAGAAGAAUAAUUUUUCCCUUAUUUUUAAUGCAUAUUUUAACAACAAUUACAGCUGAGAGUCGCCAUUUAAUUAUUCAGACGAUAAGGCACCGAUCAUUCAUCAUGAGUGGGGGAGCAUGCUCUUUUCCAGGGAAGUAAUAAUAAAUAAAAAAAAAAUAAAAAAAUGUAUAUACUUUAUUCUUAAUUGGAUAUAUGAACCAGAUAUUUUUUAAUUCAAAUAUUGAAAGCAUUUAUAUUUAUUAUUUUCAAUGGAUACAAAAAAGAAUUGUUUACAUCCCUUUGGAAACAGAUAAUAUUUAAAUAAGAAAAUUUAAAAUCAAACAAUCUAUUCAAAAUAAAGAAAAAAUAAUGAUCCCCUCCCCCACACAAAAAAAAUGAAUGGUUGGUGCCUAAAAGUAUGUUUAACAUACAAUGCAUUUGGUAAUUCUAUAAAAUGGUAUGAUUUUGAAUCAGGUACCAUUAAAAAAAUAUGUACAAGCAUGUACUUGAAAAUAUUAUAUAUUAAUUACAUGUAUAUCAUAUAUACUUGUUUGCAUGUACAAAAUCAAAACAUAACAUUAAUAUACCAUAAAAUCACAAGAUGAAAUAUAAUAUCUUCUAUUCUGAUGAAGAUGGAACAAAUUAAUUAUCUUUUGGACAUAUGGUAUCUUAUCUUGAAAAAAAAAUACUAGAACAAGGAAAACAAUAUUGUCACUGCAUUACAUACGUAUUACAUUUAUUUUAUCAAAAAAUACAUUCAUGCCUUGUUUAAAAAGUAAAAAAAAAACUGAACUCCGAAGAAAAUUCUAAAUGAAAAGUUCCUCAAGCAAAUGGCAAAAUCAAAAGCUCAAACACAUUAAACGAAAGGAUAACAACUGUCAUAUUCCUGACUUGUUACAGGCAUUUUCUUAGGCAGAAAAGUGUUGGUUAAACCUGGUUUUAUAGCUGGCUACAUGUACUUUUACUUGUAUGGAAGUCGCUUAAAAUUCCAUUAUAUUGACAACGAUGUGUGAACAACACUUUUUUAAAAAGUU